rnacentral:lncRNA from 1 species
GUGUGCACAUGAAGUAGAGGGUCUGCACUUUCAAGUCUUCAUGAAGCUUGAUUCCAGAUAUUUGAAGAUUUGAUCUCCUAUUCUACUACUAUCUAGAUAAAAAUUUGAUCCUUAGUCAUAUAGAUUUAUAAAAAAAUUUUAGAUGCAAUUCUGGUUGCUCGAAGAGAAACAGUUUUUCGUCCCUUCACCUAGCACCUCCUUUCUUUCCUUUUUGGGAUUGGUGGCCAAGAAACCUUAGGGUUUCUUGCUGCUAGAAUGUGAAGAAGACCAGAGAGAGAGGAAGAAAGAGAGAGAAAAUUAGGGAGAAAAUAGUUUUGUAUUCAUUCAUUUCAUCAAGUCAGAAUACAGUGUAUUUUUAUAUAUAGGGUCAAUGUGAUCCAACCCAAAAACUUUUCUGGCUAACUCAAUAUAAGAUUGUACUCACCCAAGCCUAUAUACACCCAUGAC